rnacentral:rRNA from 1 species
AAAACGACUCUCGGCAACGGAUAUCUCGGCUCUCGCAUCGAUGAAGAACGUAGCGAAAUGCGAUACUUGGUGUGAAUUGCAGAAUCACGUGAACCAUCGAGUCUUUGAACGCAAGUUGCGCCCCAAGCCGUUAGGCCGAGGGCACGCCUGCCUGGGUGUCAC